rnacentral:tRNA from 1 species
GGCUUCGUGGCCAAAAGGAUAAGGUGUCUGACUUCGGAUCAGAAGAUUCCAGGUUCGAGUCCUGGCGGGGUCU